UCCGUAGGUGAACCUGCGGAGGGAUCAUUACACAACAAAAUAUGAAGGUCUGGCUUCGCGGCCGGCUGAAAUAUUUUUUUCACCCAUGUCUUUUGCGCACUUGUUGUUUCCUGGGCGGGUUCGCCCGCCACCAGGACCAAACCAUAAACCUUUUUUUUUAUGCAGUUGCAAUCAGCGUCAGUAAAAACAAUGUAAUUAAUUACAACUUUCAACAACGGAUCUCUUGGUUCUGGCAUCGAUGAAGAACGCAGCGAAAUGCGAUACGUAGUGUGAAUUGCAGAAUUCAGUGAAUCAUCGAAUCUUUGAACGCACAUUGCGCCCUUUGGUAUUCCAAAGGGCAUGCCUGUUCGAGCGUCAUUUGUACCUUCAAGCUUUGCUUGGUGUUGGGCGUUUUUGUCUCCCUCUUUCAGGGAGACUCGCCUUAAAACGAUUGGCAGCCGGCCUACUGGUUUCGGAGCGCAGCACAUAAUUUGCGCUUUGUAUCAGGAGAAAAGGACGGUAAUCCAUCAAGACUCUACAUUUUUAACUUUUGACCUCGGAUCAGGUAGGGAUACCCGCUGAACUUAAGCAUAUCAAUAAGCGGAGGA
rnacentral:rRNA from 1 species